CAGCAGCCGCGGGAAUACAGAGGAUGCAAGCGUUGUCCGGAAUUAUUGGGCGUAAAGCGCGCGCAGGUGGUUUAAUAAGUCUGAUGUGAAAGCCCACGGCUCAACCGUGGAGGGUCAUUGGAAACUGUUAAACUUGAGUGCAGGAGAGAAAAGUGGAAUUCCUAGUGUAGCGGUGAAAUGCGUAGAGAUUAGGAGGAACACCAGUGGCGAAGGCGGCUUUUUGGCCUGUAACUGACACUGAGGCGCGAAAGCGUGGGGAGCAAACAGGAUUAGAUACCCGGGUAGUCCCUGUCUCUUAUAC
rnacentral:rRNA from 1 species